rnacentral:misc_RNA from 1 species
UAAAAAAAAAAAAAAAAAUCACAAAUGACUAGAGAUUAAAACAAACAAAAUAAUAAUGUGGACUCGAGUCCUUAUUCAUCUAUCUGCCCUAAAACCCAAAUCAACCAACAAUCUAAAGAGCCUUUCAACAGCUAGAUUCUGCUAUAAUCAUAUAGUGAAGGAGAAGCUUUGAUGAGGAAGAAUGACCAUAUUUGGCAGGACAUUAUAGAAUCAAACUCUUGUUGCAAAUAUUUACCAGGCCCCAAUAGUUAUGCACUUCCCUUGCAGCUUGAUUUUCCCUUUGUCUCAUGCCAAAGAAUACAUCUACCGAGAUAUGAGCCACACUCCUGCGCAUCCCAAAACUGUCCCUGCCUUCGGAAAAUGGGCGUUUGAAUCAGUUUUCACCGAACCAAACUCAUUGGUGGCAGAGACCAAUCUCAGAGAUGUGCAUUGAAGGUAAUCAAUACAGCCUGAUUCUAGUCUGUAUUGGGCUUCGACAUAUGGGGCAUGAUUGUAGGUCUUCUCCACACUCGCAACAAGU